UUAUGUCCUAGCUUUCCUAAUAUAUGUCUUGUUUACCAACAAAUCCUUGUCUUAGAUGUAGAGGAAUAAAUGAUUCUGGUUUUGGAGAAGUGAUGAUGAUGAAAAUGGAGGAACAAAUGGUUCUGGUUUUGGAGAAUUGAUGAUGAAGAAAAUGAAGGUGGUCACCACGACGAUGAUAAUAAUGAUUCGUUCUCUUUGUUCUGUGAUAUAUACUAAUAUUAUAGGUUGGGAUAACGUAGUUGAUGUAGAACCAGGGAGAAGAGAGUUUAACCAGGCGUGAGGCGCUUCGCUUGGCGCCUCAUACAACACAGAUCUUCUAUACAUGUAAUUUUGUUCUGUUGUAUCUAGAGACGCAAUACUUCCAUGAUCAUGCAACUUUCACAGUAGUUGUUGGCCUGAACCAGCAGUGCGAGCAAGUGAAUGCUCCUGAUCCAAUUAUCAACACUUGCAGUGACUUUUACAAAUUCUGGCAGGCAACCCAUGAUUUGCACGAGGCCAUAAAUCUCUGUUAUGCAGCAUCGAUAGCAACUAAUCCUAUGGAAGAUAAUCUUGGUGAUAACUUAGAGUUUCUGUGCUUAUGGAAUGUUAUGACGUACUGAGAUUCUCCAUGGAAAGUGGUGCCAAGGGUUGCAAGGUUCUGUUCAUGUCCUGGUUACUUUGGGGAUUAUACCAUUGUGAGAGGCAUGGUAGUCUCAAUGGUAGAGAAGUGUCUUAGGGCUGUGGUAACAGGCAAGAGGGUUGAAGAAGCAUUUGAAGAGGAUCAAUGCGCUUAAGCAUUGCAUGCUUGGCAAGCUUGGUGGUGCCUUUAUAAGUCCUGCUGGAAUCCUCCGUUGUGCUCAAGGAUGUGUUUUGCUUGACAGAGACGGGGUUCGCAGAAAAGAAAAGCUACACAUUUAUUACAAUUUAUUCUCAAACUCAAAGAAGUAGCUGAAGAUAUUUAGAAGGUUGUUGCUGCCUAUGACCGCAAAAUUGCUUAUGGUGUGCUCAGCCAUCAGCUGAAGCAGUUUGUGGUAGAUGAGAACAAGGUUGUACUCAUUAUUCCAGGUCCCGAUACCAGAUUCAAUGAUGCUGAAUUUCAAGAAAUAUAGCUAGCUUGGACAUGUGUUGUUCUGAACUAAGAAUUUCAUUCUUAUGUGUAAUUUAAACCCAAUGAAUGAAAGAAUGGAAGUUGAAUUCUCAAUUGGAGUUUAAAUUUGAGUUAAAUUUGAAUUUCAGUUUGA